ACAGAUUCAGGAAAAUUGGUCUAACAUUGAUGGAAAAAUUGUGCCUGCUUGAACAAACACUCAUCUUGCCAGUUGAGUACAAAGUUCCAAAACAUUCUCAAACAAAGCAAAACAUCCUCAGCUAUCCAGUGUCACAGUGAGUCAUGAGCCCAGAUUCAGGCUGGAUUUAGCAGUCACAAUAUAAAUGCUUCCUCUGUCUUUCAAAGGGAGACACCACGCUCACUGUAAAGUAAUUGGUGCAAGGGAACUGUACAUGCUGGAACACCAAAACUGAAAGAGAAAAUGUUGGAAAUGCUACUUGUCCUGCUGUGUGCUUGUGGCACUCUCUGUUUUACUGUCAAUUAGCUAUUUUUAAUCUUGACAGAGACUGGAACACCUGUAAGCCUUCAAUAUGGUAAUACUGUAAUGAGCUGUAGUAAUUCUUGUUCAUCUUUCUCAUUAAAGGGGAACUUCUUUACUCAGACGGUGGUGAGAGUGUGGAAUGAGCUGCCAGCAGAAGUGGUGGAUUGGCUGAAGACUUCUUCCUAAAUGAUUGCUUGGAUUCAAUCCACCAGGAUUACUGGCCACGAUCUUGACCAAGAGCAGCAAUGCUUCCUGUCAUUUCUUCAACCUUCUUCGCAGUCUUCCUCACCAAAAUAUUCCACCUUGCUAGUGAGUUGUACACUUGAAGAAGUAAUCCACUGGAUGAAUGGGAAAUCGUUCAGCCCAUCACCCUCCAGCUCAUGCUAAUCCCUCUUCAGUUAUUGCUCCGAAUGGAGAAAGAAAAUUGAGGAAGACAUAGUAAAGAUCCAAUAUUCACAGAUCAGUCCUUCAUACUGAUUGGUUUUCUCUUCAAGCGUUUCAUUCUGAAUUUAGUCACUGAAUCUGACAUCCUUCAGAGAAUAAUUUCCCGAUCGCAAGUCGUUGCCAAAAACAAAAGGUUUCCAGUUCUUCUGCCAAUUGUUUCAAUCUGAGUCUUCGGUUCCAACUCUUCUCUCUACUGAAAGCAUUUUUCUUUAUUUACUCCAGCAAAACUGAAGAUCUGAACGCCUGUAUUAAAUCCUCUCUUAAACUUCACACUCUACAAAGAGCAAUCUCUUGUCCUCGACAUAAAUAAAUUUUCCUAUCUGUUCCGACUCGCCAAAGCCCUGAAAUCUGAUGCUGAUUCCUGAACACGAUAUUUCUGAUUUGGCCCAGUAGCGUGGUCCAAAAUCUACUGGAUUUUAUACCUAUGACUUAAUUAAUAAAGUUGCGUAUUUCAAUCUUUUUAACAGCCUUUUGUCCUGCUUUUCUUCAAUGAUUUAUGUCUGUAAACACUCAGAUCUCCUUGCUCCCAACCCCCUUUUAAUAUUUUAUUUAUUUUGUCUCUUUUUUCCACCAAACAAUAUUAUUCCAGCCUUUAAAUGUAAUUCUUCCACUCUGCUGUGUUCUGCAAGGGCCAUUACUUUUGUUUGUUAGAUUAGAUUACGUUAUUAAUUUAUUGUCAUGUACACCAGAGUGUAAUGAAAUCCCUUGUUCUCUUGAGCUGACAGAGUGAACACGAAACAUGUUAAUAAUAAAUACGAUAAAUGCAAUAAUGC